rfam:Pantoea dispersa strain SA5 contig_3, whole genome shotgun sequence.
GCGUUAACCAAUACCACGCUGUUGCUUUUGUAUUCGAUUUCUAAUAAUAGCAGCAGCGCCCAUUUCCCUGGUGUUGGCGCAGUAUUCGCGCACCCCGGUUUCGAC